rnacentral:sRNA from 6 species
AGCGUUGCAGGUGGCCCUGAACCGAAAGUUCUGACGACAGACCAGAAGCGGGAAGCUGUGGAAGUCAUGUGUGAGGCAACGGGUCUGUCGCAACGUCACGCCAGUAGGCUGGCAGGUC